rnacentral:rRNA from 1 species
GAUCAUGGCUCAGGAUGAACGCUAGCUACAGGCUUAACACAUGCAAGUCGAGGGGCAGCAUGGUCUUAGCUUGCUAAGGCCGAUGGCGACCGGCGCACGGGUGAGUAACGCGUAUCCAACCUGCCUUACACUCUUGGACAGCCUUCUGAAAGGGAGAUUAAUACAAGAUGUUAUCAUGAGUAAGCAUUUUCGCAUGAUUAAAGGUUUACCGGUGUAAGAUGGUGGAUGUCCG